rnacentral:pre_miRNA from 1 species
UUUCGGUCCUUCUUGGGACCUCGUCAGACUUCUACUGAAGUUCCUGGAAGGACUGAAACC